GUGUGUAGACAGUAGUUAUAUAGGAUGGUGUGUAUAGACGGUAUAGACAGCAUAGACAGUAGUUAUAUAGGAUGGUGUGUGUAGACAGUAGUUAUAUAGGAUGGUGUGUAUAGACAGUAUAGACAGUAGUUUUAUAGGAUGGUGUGUAUAGACAGUAUAGACAGUAGUUAUAUAGGAUGGUGUGUGUAGACACUAGUUAUAUAGGAUGGUGUGUAUAGACAGUAUAGACAGUAGUUAUAUAGGAUGGUGUGUAUAGACAGUAGUUUUAUAGGAUGGUGUGUAUAGACAGUAGUUAUAUAGGAUGGUGUGUAUAGACAGUAGUUAUAUAGGAUGGUGUGUAUAGACAGUAGUUAUAUAGGAUGGUGUGUAUAGACAGUAUAGACAGUAAUUAUACAGGAUGGUGUGUAUAGACAGUGUAGACAGUAGUUAUAUAGGAUGGUGUGUAUAGACAGUGUAGACAGUAGUUAUAUAGAAUGGUGUGUAUAGACAGUAUAGACAGUAGUUAUAUAGGAUGGUGUGUAUAGACAGUGUAGACAGUAGUUACAUAGGAUGGUGUGUAUAGACAGUAGUUAUAUAGGAUGGUGUGUAUAGACAGUAGUUAUAUAGGAUGGUGUGUAUAGACAGUAGUUAUUUAGGAUGGUCUGUAUAGACAGUGUAGACAGUAGUUAUAUAGGAUGGUGUGUAUAGACAGAAUAGACAGUAGUUAUAUAGGAUGGCGUGUAUAGACAGUAGUUAUAUAGGAUGGUGUGUAUAGACAGUAGUUAUAUAGAAUGGUGUGUAUUGACAGUAGUUAUACAGGAUGGUGUUUAUAGACAGUAGUUAUAUAGGAUGGUGUGUAUAGACAGUAGAUAUAUAGGAUGGUGGGUAUAGACAGUAUAAACAGUAGUUAUAUAGGAUGGUGUGUAUAGACAGUAUAGACAGUAGUUAUAUAGGAUGGUGUGUAUAGACAGUAGUUAUAUAGGAUGGUGUGUAUAGACAGUAUAGACAGUAGUUAUAUAGGAUGGUGUGUAUAGAAAGUAGUUAUAUAGGAUGGUGUGUAUAGACAGUAUAGACAGUAGUUAUAUAGGAUGGUGUGUGUAUAUACAGUAGUUAUAUAGGAUGGUGUGUAUAGAUAGUAGUUAUAUAGGAUGGUGUGUGUAGACAGUAGUUAUAUAGGAUGGUGUGUAUAGACAGUAUAGACAGUAGUUAUAUAAGAUGGUGUGUAUAGACAGUAGUUAUAUAGGAUGGUGUGUAUAGACAGUAUAGACAGUAGUUAUAUAGGAUGGUGUGUAUAGAUAGUAGUUAUAUAGGAUGGUGUGUAUAGACAGUAGUUAUAUAGGAUGGUGUGUAUAAACAGUAGUUAUAUAGGAUGGUGUGUAUAGAUAGUAGUUAUAUAGGAUGGUGUGUAUAGACAGUAGUUGUAUAGGAUGGUGUGUAUAGACAGUAUAGACAGUAGUUAUAUAGGAUGGUGUGUAUAGACAGUAGUUAUAUAGGAUGGUGUGUAUAGACAUUAGUUAUAUAGGAUGGUGUGUAUAGACAGUAGUUAUAUAGGAUGGUGUGUAUAGACAGUAUAGACAGUAGUUAUAUAGGAUGGUGCGUAUAGACAGUACAGACAGUAGUUAUAUAGGAUGGUGUGUAUAGACAGUGUAGACAGUAGUUAUAAAGGAUGGUGUGUAUAGACAGUAGUUAUAUAGGAUGGUGUGUAUAGACAGUACAGACAGUAGUUUUAUAGGAUGGUGUGUAUAGACAGUAAUUAUAUAGGAUGGUGUGUAUAUACAUUGUAGAAAGUAGUUAUAUAGGAUGGUGUGUAUACACAGUAGUUAUAUAGGAUGGUGUGUAUAGACAGUAUAGACAGUAGUUAUACAGGAUGGUGUAUAGACAGUAGUUAUAUAGGAUGGUGUGUAUAGAUAGUAGUUAUAUAGGAUGGUGUGUAUAGACAGUAUAGACAGUAGUUAUAUAGGAUGGUGUGUAUAGACAGUAGUUAUACAGGAUGGUGUGUAGACAGUAGUUAUAUAGGAUGGUGUGUAUAGACAGUAGUUAUAUAGGAUGGUGUGUAUAGACAGUAGUUAUAUAGGAUGGUGUGUAUAGACAGUAGUUAUAUAGGAUGGUGUGUAUAGACAGUAGUUAUAUAGGAUGGUGUGUAUAGACAGUAUGGACAGUAGUUAUAUAGGAUGGUGUGUAUAGACAG
ensembl:lncRNA